CCUACGGGAGGCUGCAGUGAGGAAUAUUGGUCAAUGGACGAGAGUCUGAACCAGCCAAGUAGCGUGAAGGAUGACUGCCCUAUGGGUUGUAAACUUCUUUUAUAUGGGAAUAAAAUGUUCCACGUGUGGGAGUUUGUAUGUACCAUAUGAAUAAGGAUCGGCUAACUCCGUGCCAGCAGCCGCGGUAAUACGGAGGAUCCGAGCGUUAUCCGGAUUUAUUGGGUUUAAAGGGAGCGUAGGUGGAUUGUUAAGUCAGUUGUGAAAGUUUGCGGCUCAACCGUAAAAUUGCAGUUGAUACUGGCAGUCUUGAGUACAGUAGAGGUAGGCGGAAUGCGUGGUGUAGCGGUGAAAUGCUUAGAUAUCACGAAGAACUCCGAUUGCGAAGGCAGCUCACUGGACUGCAACUGACGCUGAGGCUCGAAAGUGUGGGUAUCAAACAGGAUUAGAUACCCGGGUAGUC
rnacentral:rRNA from 1 species